GAUGAACGCUGGCAGCGUGCUUAACACAUGCAAGUCGAGCGAUGAAGUUUCCUUCGGGAAACGGGUUAGCGGCGGACGGGUGAGUAACACGUGGGUAACCUGCCUCAUAGAGUGGAAUAGCCUUCCGAAAGGAAAAUUAAUACCGCAUAACGUUGAAAGAUGGCAUCAUCAUUCAACCAAAGGAGCAAUCCGCUAUGAGAUGGACCCGCGGCGCAUUAGCUAGUUGGUGGGGUAACGGCCUACCAAGGCGACGAUGCGUAGCCGACCUGAGAGGGUGAUCGGCCACAUUGGGACUGAGACACGGCCCAGACUCCUACGGGAGGCAGCAGUGGGGAAUAUUGCACAAUGGGGGAAACCCUGAUGCAGCAACGCCGCGUGAGUGAUGAAGGUUUUCGGAUCGUAAAGCUCUGUCUUUGGGGAAGAUAAUGACGGUACUCAAGGAGGAAGCCACGGCUAACUACGUGCCAGCCGCCGCGGUAA
rnacentral:rRNA from 1 species